rnacentral:tRNA from 1 species
CGUAGCUCAGCUGGUUAGAGCAUCUGACUGUUAAUCAGAGGGUCGUUGGUUCGAGUCCAACCGGGG